GGGGAUUAACAUCAAGUAUGGACUGACUUUCCGUCCUUGGCAUUAUGUGGUUGAUGCAAUCUGGGCUAAGGUAACAAGCACGUAAUUCUUCUAUGUGCUUUCUACAUACAGCUUCCCAUUUCUGUUGACCCUGGUGCCUUCAACUACCCUCCUGGGAGCUACCUUGUGGAGAAUGUGAAGACUGGUUCAUUGUCUCUUGUUGAACCUUCUGUUCCUAGAACCUGUUAAUAAAAGUGCCCAAUAAAUAUUUCUUGGACAAUAAGUGAUGAUGCUUAGAAGAACACUACAUAUUACAGCUAGCAUCCAACUUGGAAAUGCAUUGUGUUCCACGUGGCAUUUGUAUGCAGAAUAUAUUUUCUCGUGUGAAAGAGUAAUGUAGAAAGAAUUUGGAUUCCAAGGCUGGCUCAUAAAAGUGAUCUUAUUCCA